rnacentral:rRNA from 1 species
AUGCACACACACUUUGAGAAGUUGUAUGAAUACAGGUCAACUUGGGUGCCGUGCUACUUCAAACACAGGUUCUUCCCCUUCCUGCAGUCUACACAGCGUAGUGAGGGGUUCAACGCCAUCCUAAAAAGAUAUGUGAACCCACACAACUCAAUGCUGAACUUCGUCAAGCAAUAUGAAAAAAGUCAGAACCACAUCCUUGCCAAGGAAGGCUGCAAUGAUUACAGGAUAGAACACCUUGAGAUUGAGCUAUGGUCCAACUUCCCAAUAGAAAGGCAAGCUUACGAAACCUACACUAGGGACCUUUACCGCAAGGUUAGAGAAGAGUUUGAGCUUAUUGGACGUUAUAAUGUGUUCCAAGUUGGUGCUGACCUUUUUGAGCUCAGACCGAACCAGGAAUUUGUUGCCAAAUAUGGUUCUCGGAACUACUUGGUGCAGGCAAGGGUGGAGCAGGGUUCCUAUUUGUGUGAGUGCUGCAAAAUGGACAAGGACAGCAUGCUCUGUUGCCACAUCCUCAAGGUGUUCACCCAUAUUGGAGUUGAUGUCAUACCGGAAAGGUACAUGCUAAGACGGUGGACACCUACUGCUGUUCCUAGUGCGCCAGGGACCGAGUAUGAGCAACCGGAUGAAAUGCCCCCUCAAUCAAAGAAGCAGAUAAGGGAGAGAAACAUGAUAUUCGAUUUUCGAAAACUAGCCAAGUUUGCGAGUGGCUCUGAUGCAGCACAAGACAUUGUAUACAAGCAUAUGCGCGGAGCACGUACCGAGAUUGGCCACCUGAACAAGUCCAAGAAAAAGAAAGAAACGGCUGCUGCUACAGGGCCAUCAGAUGAUGGCAACCCUCGAGGGCCUCCUCCACCUCCAGGCAGCACUCAGGGGGCUCAUCAU